rnacentral:rRNA from 1 species
UACGUAGGGAGCGAGCGUUGUCCGGAAUUACUGGGUGUAAAGGGAGCGUAGGCGGGACGGCAAGUCAGAUGUGAAAACUAUGGGCUCAACCUAUAGACUGCAUUUGAAACUGCUGUUCUUGAGUGAGGUAGAGGUAAGCGGAAUUCCUGGUGUAGCGGUGAAAUGCGUAGAGAUCAGGAGGAACAUCGGUGGCGAAGGCGGCUUACUGGGCCUUUACUGACGCUGAGGCUCGAAAGCGUGGGGAGCAA